GAUGAACGCUGGCGGCGUGCCUAAUACAUGCAAGUCGAGCGAACAGACGAGGAGCUUGCUCCUCUGACGUUAGCGGCGGACGGGUGAGUAACACGUGGAUAACCUACCUAUAAGACUGGGAUAACUUCGGGAAACCGGAGCUAAUACCGGAUAAUAUAUUGAACCGCAUGGUUCAAUAGUGAAAGACGGUUUUGCUGUCACUUAUAGAUGGAUCCGCGCCGCAUUAGCUAGUUGGUAAGGUAACGGCUUACCAAGGCAACGAUGCGUAGCCGACCUGAGAGGGUGAUCGGCCACACUGGAACUGAGACACGGUCCAGACUCCUACGGGAGGCAGCAGUAGGGAAUCUGCCGCAAUGGGCGAAAGCCUGACGGAGCAACGCCGCGUGAGUGAUGAAGGUCUGCGGAUCGUAAAACUCUGUUAUUAGGGAAGAACAAAUGUGUAAGUAACUAUGCACGUCUUGACGGGACCUAAUCAGAAAGCCACGGCUAACUACGU
rnacentral:rRNA from 1 species